rnacentral:rRNA from 1 species
CAGCAGCCGCAGUAAUACGAAGGGUGCAAGCGUUACUCGGAAUUACUGGGCGUAAAGCGUGCGUAGGUGGUGGUUUAAGUCCGUUGUGAAAGCCCUGGGCUCAACCUGGGAAUUGCAGUGGAUACUGGGUCACUAGAGUGUGGUAGAGGAUAGUGGAAUUUCCGGUGUAGCAGUGAAAUGCGUAGAGAUCGGAAGGAACAUCUGUGGCGAAGGCGACUAUCUGGGCCAACACUGACACUGAGGCACGAAAGCGUGGGGAGCAAACAGGAUUAGAUACCCCGGUAGUCCCUGUCUCUUAUAC